GACGAACGCUGGCGGCGUGCUUAACACAUGCAAGUCGAACGGAAAGGCCCUGCUUUUGUGGGGUGCUCGAGUGGCGAACGGGUGAGUAACACGUGAGUAACCUGCCCUUGACUUUGGGAUAACAUCAGGAAACUGGGGCUAAUACCGGAUAGGAGCUCCUGCUGCAUGGUGGGGGUUGGAAAGUUUCGGCGGUUGGGGAUGGACUCGCGGCUUAUCAGCUUGUUGGUGGGGUAGUGGCUUACCAAGGCUUUGACGGGUAGCCGGCCUGAGAGGGUGACCGGCCACAUUGGGACUGAGAUGCGGCCCAGACUCCUACGGGAGGCAGCAGUGGGGAAUAUUGCACAAUGGGCGGAAGCCUGAUGCAGCAACGCCGCGUGCGGGAUGACGGCCUUCGGGUUGUAAACCGCUUUCGCCUGUGACGAAGCGUGAGUGACGGUAAUGGGUAAAGAAGCACCGGCUAACUACGUG
rnacentral:rRNA from 1 species